rnacentral:tRNA from 2 species
GGGCCGGUAGUCGAGCCAGGACUAAGACGGCGGCCUGCGGAGCCGCAAAUCGUGGGUUCGAAUCCCACCCGGCCCGCCA